rnacentral:tRNA from 1 species
GGGCGAGUGGCGCAAGCGGCAGACGCUGGGGACUUAAAAUCCCCUGUCCCGUAGGGAUAUGCGGGUUCGAAUCCCGCCUCGCCCA